UCAAUUUUCUCUCUCAAUUCCAAAUAAAACUCGUUCGAGAACCUUUUAAUUGACCUAGGGUUUCCAUUUCAAAUUUCAAAAAAACCUCGCAGUUCAGGUCUCGUUCUCGUAUCUAUGCAAGAGAAGAUCAACAAAGUCUGCGAUCUCAGCCCUAUAUGUGUACUUCCUCAGUCAAGGUUCUUGGAUUAGUUGUUAACAGGGAUCCAAAGUUCACCAAUCUUGUUGAGGUUUAUUACUGUCAUGAUAUUAAUAUGCAGGUAAGGUCUUUGACAGAAUGCCAGAGAAGAACCGUUGAAAUGUGGAUUUGAUAUUGAUAAUUCUAACGUUCCAUGAGAUCAAAAGAACCGAGAUUCAAAGCAAACGAAACAAGCUUAUUAUGACAGAUUAAAGCUGUUAUGGUAGUGGAACUAGAACAUCUCGAAAAGAAUGCCGAGGAGCAAGAAGAAACCGGACAUCUUGAUGAGAAUAUUAAAGUACAACCAAACGAAGAGACAAAUUCAGCCUUAUGGAUUUGAUGUGGGACAAUCGGAGAGGAGAGCAUUCCUUAAAGGAUUUGACCAAGGUGUUGAAGCCUUUGUUAAUUGUUCCACCUGAGCUAGCAUAUGGAAGUAAGGGAGUUCAAGAAAUUCCCCCAAAUGCGACAAUAAAGAUAGAUGUUGAACUGCUGUCCAUCAAAACAAGCCCAUUCGGGUGAGUGAAAGACUUCCAAGGAGUUUCAUGUACUUCAACUCGCAGGAAGAGGUACGACACCUUCAGUUUAGUUAAAG